AUUACUAUUGCAGUCGACUGCGGCGUUGUCGCCGCGUUAAAUUUCAUUUAUAAAUUGCCGAUUUGCACUAGGCGCCCAGAAAUGUGCAGUAGGUGGAUGAGAAAAUUAAAUACAACAUGUUGCAUGUGUAUUACUGCGAACAUGUUGUAAACAGUUUGCUUCAAACAAUCGGCUAAAUUACAAUUUUCUAUUUUAUGAAAAUCCCACGUCAACUACCUGGCGUCCAUAAAAAGCAGCAAUGUGCUUGCUUCACAUUUUGUCGGCAGGACUUUGUUGCUAUUUCCAUAUGCCCAUAUGCAUUCCGUGAGUCCCACAACAACACGUCUCCUUGUAAGAAUAAUAAAAACAAAAGGAGAACGAAACGUAAAAUUAUUUUUGCUAAAAAUUCCAAAGACUAGUGAAAUUGUUUUUGCUAAAAAUUCCGAUGAUCUAUUUAGUUAGUUGUUAUUGUACACCAGGCGACCGCAUAAUGUGCAUACUGAUCAUAGGGUGGCCUGCUGCACAUUGUUUUUGCUAAACGCAUUUCGCGGCCGCCUGAUGUACAAUAACAACUAACUAAAUAGAUCAUCGGAAUUUUUAGCAAAAACAAUUCCUCUAGCCUUUGGAAUUUUUAGCAAAAACAAUACUAGGAGCCUUGGGAAUUUUUAGCAAAAACAAUUUUACGUUUCGUUCUCCUUUUGUUUUUAUUAUUCUUACAAGGUCACUUGUUGUGGGAGUCACGGAAUGCAUAUGGGCAUAUGGAAAUAGCAACAAAGUCCUGCUGACAAAAUGUGAAGUAAGCACCAUGCUGCUUUUUAUGGGUGCCUGGUAGCUGGCGUGAGAUUUUCAUAAGGUGAGGAGACGUGUUGUUGUGGGAGUCACGGAAUGCAUGUGGGCAUAUGGAAAUAGCAACAAAGUGCCUGGUAGCUGGCGUGGGAUUUUCAUAAGGAGACGUGUUGUUGUGGGAGUCACGGAAUGCAUAUGGGCAUAUGGAGAUAGCAACAAAGUGCAGGCGACAAAAUGUGAGGCAAGCACCAUGCUGCUUUUUAUCGGUGCCUGGUAGUUGACGUGGGAUUUUCAUAAAAUAGAAAAUUGUAAUUUUGCCGAUUGUUUGAAGCAAACUGAUUACAACAUGUUCGCAGUAAUACACAUGCAACAUGUUGUAUGUAAUUUUCUCAUCCAUCUACUGCACAUUUCUGGGCGCCUAGUGCAAAUCGGCAAUUUAUAAAUGAAAUUUAACACGGCGACAACGCCGCAGUCGACAGAGCAGCCGACUGCAAUAGUAAUUGAAUGGGGAAAUGAGUGAUUUUACUUACUUUAUCUAGCUGAAUAAAUUUUAACAAUUAAUCAAAUUUAUUUUAAAAGAUAUUUUAUUGAAUAAAGUAGAUUUCACAAAUAUUUUAAUGCGAAUAGUUUUAAUUUGAAUUUGCAAACACUUUCAAAGCAUUCAAUUAUAAUUUGCAGAGGUAAUACAAAUAGCAGGAAAAUAAAUUAUUGGAACCCAGUAUCUUCUUCAUCUUAGUGCUGGUAUACUUUUUCGUCUCAUCGACCUUAGAAGCUAUCUUCGUUUGUGAUGAAUUCAUCACGUAUUUUAUUCAGCUUGGU